rnacentral:rRNA from 1 species
GAAUGCCUACGGGAGGCAGCAGUGGGGAAUAUUGCGCAAUGGGGGGAACCCUGACGCAGCAACGCCGCGUGCAGGAAGAAGGUCUUCGGAUUGUAAACUGUUGUCGCAGGGGAAGAAGACAGUGACGGUACCCUGUGAGAAAGUCACGGCUAACUACGUGCCAGCAGCCGCGGUAAUACGUAGGUGACAAGCGUUGUCCGGAUUUACCGGGUGUAAAGGGCGCGUAGGCGGAUGUGCAAGUCAGUCGUGAAAUACCGUGGCUCAACCCCGGGCCUGCGAUUCAAACUGCACACCUUGAGUAUCGG